rnacentral:rRNA from 1 species
CCUACGGGGGGCAGCAGUGGGGAAUAUUGCACAAUGGGGGAAACCCUGAUGCAGCGAAGCCGCGUGAGUGAAGAAGUAAUUCGGUAUGUAAAGCUCUAUCAGCCGGGAAGAAAAUGACGGUACCUGAGUAAGAAGCCCCGGCUAACUACGUGCCAGCAGCCGCGGAAAUACGUAGGGGGCCAACGUUACCCGGAUUUACUGGGUGUAAAGGGAGCGUAGACGGGAGUGCAAGUCUGGAGGGAAAGGCGGGGGCUCAACCCCCGGACUGCCCUGGAAACUGUACGGCUGGAGUGCAGGAGAGGUAAGUGGAAUUCCUAGUGUAGCGGUGAAAUGCGUAGAUAUUAGGAGGAACACCAGUGGCGAAGGCGGCUUACUGGACUGUAACUGACGUUGAGGCUCGAAAGCGUGGGGAGCAAACAGGAUUAGAUACCCGUGUAGUC